GAAAGUAUCUGCUUUUACUGGACAAUGCCAACUAAAGGCACACCUGGGUAUACAAUUAGGCAAUAGGCACUAAAUAAAAUAAUAACGUUUUUUGUGAGUCCCGCAUUGUUUGUGUCGUUUCACGUCGUAUUCACCUCCGUGUGAAAUGGAAAAAGGACUCAA